UCUUCGCUGCUUGGAACAGAAGAAAAAUCAGACAGAGAAUAUUCGUUCUAUCGUUUCCCGUUUAUUCUUCCAUGCGGAAUCGCCGCUGAUUUGUAACGCAUAAAAAUACCGGGACACUCUGCAUAUCGAUGUAACGAACAGCAACAUGUAACAUCACACGACAAUGCGAUAAACGUAUAAUAUUAACAUGUCUAUUGUUAAUGUUAUUAUUACGUUCCAUUGUAUCGUAUUGUAUCUUAAUUCUUUAUCCUCUCGAGGCUAUUGCGUCUAUUACAAUCUAUUCUCGAUGAACUAAGAAAGUUUGUCAGAAAGUUUAUUGAAAAAUUGUUAUAACAUCUUGAAGUUUAUUUUUUCUUUGUAUAAAACACAUGUUCUCUUUAAACCUGCCAAAAUGUUUAAUUUCACGCUAUUUUCUGCUUUUUUUUUUUAGUUCAUCGAGGAGAAAAAUGUAUAAUAAUUUAAUCCUCUUUUGGUUUUCUGUUUCAGGCAAGAAUUACGAGGUGGAUCUUCCCCGCCGAUUGAAAACUGCAGCCCGUGAACUAGGCUUAGAAAUCUGUUCUAAUUUCUUUCUUUACUUAAAAAAGAAUUUUUUUAUAUUUCUUAAAUAUAUAUGAAACCAUACCUCAAAAUUCAAUAACUUCGUUUCUUUCCUACUCUUUUAAACAAAAUUUUAGAACAUUCCAAUUCAGGACGCCCCCUUAAUUUAUUGCUUCAAGAUGAAUCUUAAUUUCUCGUUUGUCUAAAUACCGCUAUAUCUUGGUAUAACGCGUUAACGAUAUUGCAUAGAUCUGUAUGUACAUUAACGUUUAUUGGGAGAGAAAUUGCAGGAACAACGGUAACGAAAGCCGCGAAACAACGACACACGCACAACGUGGACAAAUUACAUAAAGUUACAAAAAUACAGGAUCGGAGCUAACGAAAAGAAACAAAGGGCAACGACAAUUAUUCCGAGUGAGAUGCUGCUUUGUUCUUGAAACGGCGAUAGCAGGUGAAAACUGGACGUGUAAUGGUAACGGGACAAGAGAUAAGCGAUAAUGAGCGAGAGACAAAAGGGAAGAAAAUUGUCAUUUAUUUUGUACUCGACAAGGGAUCAUCUGGCAACGUCAAACGAUACCAAAGUGUGUUAAUUUGUUUUUGUAAUUAGUAUGAUUUACAUUAUAUCGCAUAUACACUAUAUCUACGCUAUACACCUCGCUGGUAAGUAUUAGCUUGGCCAUUAAGUGAUCGCGGAUUUUGUCAAUAGAUUGUAUGGAGAAAAUCUACAAUCACUUAGUUGCCAAGCCAAUAAUUACAACGUUUAGGAGAACUCAAGUCCUUAUGAAAUUACAGGAAUCUUGGACUGUAAAUUUUGCGCUACGAAGGAAGCGGAUAGAUUGAACGUGAUAAUAAUAAGAAUAGCGACGAUGUUGCUUACAGGUGCGUGGAUAAUCGGCAGAUUGCCAGAGAUGCUUGGCCACUACUCACGUUUUUGAUAUUCCACUUCAAGAAGGGUGGGAAAACGAUCGCACAGAACACAACUCCAAAGGCGAACAGAGAGCCACCGAUGAUUCCAAGUUUCUUCGGCUUUAUCAUAGUAACACGCUGCAACAAUCACGGUUAGCCAUAUAAGUGGAGUUUGUCGAUGAAACGCUAUGGCGAUAAGUGGGCCGAUGUACGUAGAUUAACGUCAAUAACGGAAACACAAAAUGUAGGCAAAAUACAGCGAAGCGAUAACUAUGACGCGUAAGCGAGUAAUAAGUUUCUGUUCGAACCUUCGAUAUACCAUAAAUAUAAACUGAGAAACUUUGCGAACUCGAGCAUGAAUAGUUUAUAUAUAGUUGCUAUACCACGGCAGAAGGGAAAACGCUUCUUCUUCGACCGACGCUGGUGAAAAUGAAAAGGAAAACAGAAAAUGACGAAGAACAACGAAGGAAGAAAAUUAAGCGAUAAAUGCGACGAAGGGGACGAAGAAACGAGAACCUGCUUUUCGUCUGAAUGCACGCGACAAAAUGACUCGAAUGACAGAAAACGGAAACGAAAAAGGGCAAAGUGAGUAAAAGCGACGAAGGAAAAGAGAUCUAGCGUUUGUCGACGCGUGGAUCGAUCAUCUUUGUCGAAUAACCAUAGGAAAGGAAAUAAUAAAUAAGUAAAUAGCAAGGUAAACUUCGUUUCGUAGAUAUUAAACUAUGGAAAAAAGAAGAGAAAAUAUCGAUCGAUAGAAAGAAGAAUAUAAAUAAAAUACCAAAAAAAAGAGAAAAAGAUAGAAGUUAAACGCAAUCUCGAAGACCGAUAAAAAUUCUGAAAACCCGGUUAUUCGAUGAAGUUGUGGAAACCUUGUGUCCGUUCGGAGCACGCAGCGUUUCAUGAAGCUUUCGUCCGGUCGUUAAAAACGAAAGUAGACCCAAAAGCGACGAGUACCAGGUAACCUUAACGCCUCGACGAAAGACACGAGCGGCAAAAUCAUGCGCGAGAGGCUUCAGACGCAUUCCUUUGAAAAUCCUCGAAAAAUCUUCGUCUAUCUACUUCGAGCGAAUAUCGCGAAUUUCUAUGUAUUUUCCGAUCUAACGAUCGCAAGAUCGCUUCUUUAUCAUCGAACCAACCAUCUAACUACUUCUUCUUUCCAACGUUAUACGUAUUUUUUUUUCUUUUUUUUUUUUAAACAUUCUUCUCUUCUCGGUAAGAUACUUUUGAUUAAAAUAGCGUCCUUUAAAAGUAAUCCUUUCAGAUUGUCCUUUUCGACGAAUCCUUCAUGGAUUUAAAUAUUAUCACUGUUCGACGCGACGACGACAAGAGCUUCCCGAGCUUAUUCGCACACCUUGUAAUGGCCGAGCUAGUGGAUACGAUGUCGACUGGCCGAUCGAGAAGAGUACGAGAGGUCGACCGGCUUCCUCGUCCUGUGCCGUUAAUCUUCGAGCGUUCGCGUGAACUGACGGUUUCGAGCUUCGUCGUCGAACGACGGCGACACCGGCAAAACGCCCACUCCUGCGUCACCACGUACAGCCGAUUUUCGCGCUACCUGUGCGAGAGUGGUAGCUGAUCAGAGCUGUUUAGUAAAACAGAUGUCUAUCUUUU